UGACCUCAAAUCAGGUAGGACUACCCGCUGAACUUAAGCAUAUCAAUAAGCGGAGGAAAAGAAACUAACAAGGAUUCCCCUAGUAACUGCGAGUGAAGCGGGAAAAGCUCAAAUUUAAAAUCUGGCAGUCUUUGGCUGUCCGAGUUGUAAUCUAGAGAAGUGCUAUCCGCGCUGGACCGUGUACAAGUCUCCUGGAAUGGAGCCUCAUAGAGGGUGAGAAUCCCGUCUUUGACAUGGACUACCAGGGCUUUUGUGAUGUGCUCUCAAAGAGUCGAGUUGUUUGGGAAUGCAGCUCAAAAUGGGUGGUAAAUUCCAUCUAAAGCUAAAUAUUGGCGAGAGACCGAUAGCGAACAAGUACCGUGAGGGAAAGAUGAAAAGAACUUUGGAAAGAGAGUUAAACAGUACGUGAAAUUGCUGAAAGGGAAACGCUUGAAGUCAGUCGCGUUGUCCAGGGAUCAACCUUGCUUUUGCUUGGUGCACUUUCUGGUUGACGGGUCAGCAUCAAUUUUGACUGUUGGAAAAAGAUCAAGGGAAUGUGGCAUCUUUGGAUGUGUUAUAGCCCUUGGUUGUAUACAAUGGUUGGGAUUGAGGAACUCAGCACGCCGCAAGGCCGGGUUUUUAACCACGUACGUGCUUAGGAU
rnacentral:rRNA from 1 species